rnacentral:rRNA from 1 species
GAUGAACGCUGGCGGCGUGCCUAAUACAUGCAAGUCGAGCGAAUGGAUUAAGAGCUUGCUCUUAUGAAGUUAGCGGCGGACGGGUGAGUAACACGUGGGUAACCUGCCCAUAAGACUGGGAUAACUCCGGGAAACCGGGGCUAAUACCGGAUAACAUUUUGGACCGCAUGGUUCGAAAUUGAAAGGCGGCUUCGGCUGUCACUUAUGGAUGGAUCCGCGUCGCAUUAGCUAGUUGGUGAGGUAACGGCUCACCAAGGCAACGAUGCGUAGCCGACCUGAGAAGGUGAUCGGCCACACUGGGACUGAGACACGGCCCAGACUCCUACGGGAGGCAGCAGUAGGGAAUCUUCCGCAAUGGACGAAAGUCUGACGGAGCAACGCCGCGUGAGUGAUGAAGGCUUUCGGGUCGUAAAACUCUGUUGUUAGGGAAGAACAAGUGCUAGUUGAAUAAGCUGGCACCUUGACGGUACCUAACCAGAAAGCCACGGCUAACUACGUGCCAGCAGCCGCAGUAA